rnacentral:rRNA from 1 species
CCCUUAGAUGUCCUGGGCUGCACGCGCGCUACACUGAUGUGUCCAGUAAGCACCUAACCUCUUCCGAAAGGAACGGGUAACCUUUGCAAAGCACAUCGUGAUGGGGAUAGAUUAUUGCAAUUAUUAGUCUUGAACGAGGAAUUCCUAGUAAGCACAAGUCAUCAGCUUGUGUUGAUUACGUCCCUGCCCUUUGUACACAUUGCCCGUCGCACCUACCGAUUGAAUGGUCCGGUGAAAUCUUCGGAUUGAGACUUUGUUUUCUUCACGGAAAACGCUGUUUUAAAAAGUUGAUUAAACCUUACCAUUUAGAGGAAGGUGAAGUCGUAACA